rnacentral:rRNA from 1 species
CCCUUAGAUGUUCUGGGCCGCACGCGCGCUACACUGAUGCAUUCAACGAGUCCAACCUUGACCGAGAGGUCCGGGUAAUCUUUGAAACUGCAUCGUGAUGGGGCUAGAUUAUUGCAAUUAUUAAUCUUCAACGAGGAAUGCCUAGUAAGCGUGAUUCAUCAAAUCGCGUUGAUUACGUCCCUGCCCUUUGUACACACCGCCUGUCGCUCCUACCGAUUGAGUGUGUUGGUGAGGAGUUUGGAUUGGCCUCGGAAGGUGGUUCGCCACCGUCCGUAGCUGAGAAGUUCUCCAAACCGCCCCACUUAGAGGAAGGAGAAGUCGUAACA